rnacentral:rRNA from 1 species
UAUAUACUUUAAAAUUAAAAAAUUUGGCGGUGACUUAAUCUUAUUAGAGGAAUUUGUUUUUUAAUCGAUACACCACGUAAAAUUUCACUUAUUUUUGUAAAUUUACAGCUUGUAUACCAUCAUUAUUAGAUAAUUCUUAAAGGAAUAAAUUUUUAAAAUUGAUUGUUUAAUAAAAUUAGAUCAAGGUGCAGUCUAUGAAUAAGUUAAAAUGAAUUACAAUAAAUUAUUUUAUUACGAANUAAUAUAUGAAAUUGUAUUAUAAAGGAGGAUUUAAUUGUAUUAUGAGUUUAAUAAGCUUAUAAGGAAUAAGUUCUAAGUUGUGUACAUAUCGCCCGUCGCUUCCAUUACAUAAAAGGAAUAAGUCGUAACAUAGUAGAUAUACUGGAAAGUGUAUCUAGAAUGGAA